rnacentral:rRNA from 1 species
UGGGGAAUAUUGCACAAUGGGGGAAACCCUGAUGCAGCGACGCCGCGUGAGUGAAGAAGUAUUUCGGUAUGUAAAGCUCUAUCAGCAGGGAAGAAAAUGACGGUACCUGACUAAGAAGCCCCGGCUAACUACGUGCCAGCAGCCGCGGUAAUACGUAGGGGGCAAGCGUUAUCCGGAUUUACUGGGUGUAAAGGGAGCGUAGACGGCGGAACAAGUCAGAAGUGAAAACCCGGGGCUCAACCCUGGGAGUGCUUUUGAAACUGUUUGGCUGGAGUGCAGGAGAGGUAAGCGGAAUUCCUAGUG